AUGUUGGUAAGGACAGUUCUCAAGGCAAUAUGGGAGCCCUUGAAAAGAGCUCCUCAGAACCUGGAAGGACCAACUGUCUACAUCUUCCCCCCCAAGCCCAAGGACACACUCAUGAUCUCCCUGGUCCCCAAGAUUACAUGUGUUGCAGUAGAUGUGAGCCAGGAUGAUCCUGAGGUCCAGUUCACAUGGUUUAUAGAUAACACACAGGUUAACACAGCUGCGACGAUUUCCCGAGAAGAGCAAUUCAACACCACUUUCCGUGUGGUCAGUUCCCUCCCCAUCCAGCACCAGGACUGGCUGAAGGGCAAGGAGUUCAAGUGCAAGGUCAACAACAAAGCUCUGCCAGCCCCCAUUGAGAGGACCAUCUCCAAAGCCAAAGGCUCACUCCGUGUGCCAGAAGUGUAUACCCUGCCCCCAUCCCGAGAGGAGCUGUCCAAGGACAAAGUCACUGUGACUUGCCUGGUCACUGGCUUCUAUCCUGCUGACAUUGAUGUGGAGUGGAUGAACAAUGGAAACCCAGUGAGCGAGGAAAGCUACAGGAACACCCCAGCUAUCGGUGACAGUGACGGGACCUUCUUCCUCUAUAGCAAGCUCAGAGUGGAAAGCAACAAGUGGAACCGAGGAAGCAUCUACACCUGCACCGUGAUGCACGAAGCUCUGCACAAUCACGUCACUCAGAAGACCAUCUCCCGGUCUCCGGGUAAAUGA